rnacentral:rRNA from 1 species
UACGGAGGUUGCAAGCGUUAUCCGGAAUUAUUGGGCGUAAAGCGUCCGUAGGUGGCACUUCAAGUCUGCUGUCAAAGACCGGGGCUUAACCCUGGAAAGGCAGUGGAAACUGAAGCGCUAGAGUGUGGCAGGGGUAGAGGGAAUUCCCGGUGUAGCGGUGAAAUGCGUAGAGAUCGGGAAGAACAUCGUUGGCGAAAGCGCUCUACUGGGCCAUAACUGACACUCAGGGACGAAAGCUAGGGGAGCGAAUGGG